rnacentral:rRNA from 1 species
UAGGGAAUCUUCGGCAAUGGACGAAAGUCUGAUCGAGCAACGCCGCGUGAGUGAAGAAGGUUUUCGGAUCGUAAAACUCUGUUGUUAGAGAAGAACAAGGACGUUAGUAACUGAACGUCCCCUGACGGUAUUUAACCAGAAAGCCACGGCUAACUACGUGCCAGCAGCCGCGGUAAUACGUAGGUGGCAAGCGUUGUCCGGAUGUAUUGGGCGUAAAGCGAGCGCAGGCGGUUUCUUAAGUCUGAUGUGAAAGCCCCCGGCUCAACCGGGGAGGGUCAUUGGAAACUGGGAGACUUGAGUGCAGAAGAGGAGAGUGGAAUUCCAUGUGUAGAGGUGAAAUGCGUAGAUAUAUGGAGGAACAACAGUGGCGAAGGCGGCUCUCUGGUCUGUAACUGACACUGAGGCUCGAAAGCGUGGGGAGCAAACAGG